GAUGAACGCUGGCGGCGUGCCUAAUACAUGCAAGUCGAGCGAACGGACGAGAAGCUUGCUUCUCUGAUGUUAGCGGCGGACGGGUGAGUAACACGUGGAUAACCUACCUAUAAGACUGGGAUAACUUCGGGAAACCGGAGCUAAUACCGGAUAAUAUUUUGAACCGCAUGGUUCAAAAGUGAAAGGCGGUCUUGCUGUCACUUAUAGAUGGAUCCGCGCUGCAUUAGCUAGUUGGUAAGGUAACGGCUUACCAAGGCAACGAUGCAUAGCCGACCUGAGAGGGUGCUCGGCCACACUGGAACUGAGACACGGUCCAGACUCCUACGGGAGGCAGCAGUAGGGAAUCUUCCGCAAUGGGCGAAAGCCUGACGGAGCAACGCCGCGUGAGUGAUGAAGGUCUUCGGAUCGUAAAACUCUGUUAUUAGGGAAGAACAUAUGUGUAAGUAACUGUGCACAUCUUGACGGUACCUAAUCAGAAAGCCACGGCUAACUACGU
rnacentral:rRNA from 1 species